rnacentral:rRNA from 1 species
UACGGAGGGUGCAAGCGUUAUCCGGAUUCACUGGGUUUAAAGGGUGCGUAGGCGGGCAGGUAAGUCCGUGGUGAAAUCUCUGAGCUUAACUCAGAAACUGCCAUGGAUACUAUUUGUCUUGAAUAUUGUGGAGGUGAGCGGAAUAUGUCAUGUAGCGGUGAAAUGCUUAGAUAUGACAUAGAACACCAAUUGCGAAGGCAGCUCACUACACAGUUAUUGACGCUGAGGCACGAAAGCGUGGGGAGCAAACAGG